rnacentral:rRNA from 1 species
UCAGUAACGGCGAGUGAAGCGGCUACAGCUCAAAUUUGAAAUCUGGCCUCCUUUGGGGGUCCGAGUUGUAAUUUGCAGAGGAUGCUUUGGCAUUGGCGGCGGUCUAAGUUCCUUGGAACAGGACAUCGCAGAGGGUGAGAAUCCCGUACGUGGGCGCCUGCCUUUGCCGUGUAAAGCUCCUUCGACGAGUCGAGUUGUUUGGGAAUGCAGCUCUAAAUGGGAGGUAAAUUUCUCCUAAAGCUAAAUACCGGCCAGAGACCGAUAGCGCACAAGUAGAGUGAUCGAAAGAUGAAAAGUACUUUGGAAAGAGAGUCAAAUAGCACGUGAAAUUGUUGAAAGGGAAGCGCUUGCAGCCAGACUUGCCCGCAGUUGCUCACCUAGGCUUUCGCCUGGGGCACUCUUCUGCGGGCAGGCCAGCAUCAGUUUGGGCGGUCGGAUAAAGGCCUCUGUCAUGUACCACCCCUCGGGGUGGCCUUAUAGGGGAGGCGUAAUGCGACCAGCCCGGACUGAGGUCCGCGCAUCUGCUAGGAUGCUGGCGUAAUGGCUGUAAGCGGCCCGUCUUGAAACACGGACCAAGGAGUCUAACAUCUAUGCGAGUGUUUGGGUGUCAAGCCCGGGCGCGCAAUGAAAGUGAACGGAGGUGGGAACCCUUCGGGGUGCACCAUCGACCGAUCCUGAAGUCUUCGGAUGGAUUUGAGUAAGAGCAUAGCUGUUGGGACCCGAAAGAUGGUGAACUAUGCUUGAAUAGGGUGAAGCCAGAGGAAACUCUGGUGGAGGCUCGCAG